UACGGAGGGGACUAGCGUUGUUCGGAAUUACUGGGCGUAAAGCGCACGUAGGCGGUCUUUUAAGUCAGGGGUGAAAUCCUGGAGCUCAACUCCAGAACUGCCUUUGAUACUGAGAGACUUGAGUCCGGGAGAGGUGAGUGGAACUGCGAGUGUAGAGGUGAAAUUCGUAGAUAUUCGCAAGAACACCAGUGGCGAAGGCGGCUCACUGGCCCGGUACUGACGCUGAGGUGCGAAAGCGUGGGGAGCAAACAGG
rnacentral:rRNA from 1 species